rnacentral:rRNA from 1 species
CCCUUAGAUGCCCUGGGCCGCACGCGUGCUACACUGAUGCAUACAGCGAGUACUUUCCAGCUCCGCGAGGCAGCUGGUAAUCAGCAAUAUGCAUCGUGCUGGGGAUAGAUCUUUGGAAUUAUAGAUCUUGAACGAGGAAUUCCUAGUAAGCGCAAGUCAUUAGCUUGCGCUGAUUAAGUCCCUGCCCUUUGUACACACCGCCCGUCGCUCCUACCGAUUUCGAGUGAUUCGGUGAACCUUUUGGACAGCGUCUGUCCUCGUGUCAGAUGCUGAAAGUCAAGUAAACCAUAUCACUUAGAGGAAGGAGAAGUCGUAACA